rnacentral:lncRNA from 1 species
AUGUCUGUAAUAUGUUGGAAGAAUAAGAGCAUUGGAGAGAAUCCAGCAAGUCCAGCAUCAGAUACUGUAGGGGAAAGGGUGGAAUUGAGAGAAAAAUGUGAAUUUGGACAUCUGUUGACCCUCAUAGGUGUUGAGUGUUUGGCCUAUGUUCGACAUUCCCAACAUGAAAUGCACUCCGUUCUGCCUGUAGAAACCCAGAACCAUGCCAAACAAGAAACACAAACGUGGUUGUGGUGCCCGAGGUCCUAGUCUGUGAUCUUUCCCCACAGCUGGCAUGUUCCCUCUGAGGCUCUGAGACAUUCCUCAUUAGCUCAGAAUGGGGACUGAAAGGCAUAUCCAAUUAAAGAGAAGGAUAAAAGGCCCUCUCUUCUGCUGGUCUUCAAACCAAGUGCCAAAGAAUAACCUUUGUACGGAUCAGGAUGGGAACUCCUGUCAGGAGUCAACCCCAAGUCUCCCUGGGGGCAACGCCUGCUGAGACCAUGCACCUUACCUGUCCCCUCAGCAAAAGAGCAUCUAGGUGGGCCUGCCCAGCAUGGUGGCAGCACAAAGUCUGGAGCCAGAAGCACAGAGGAGCAGAAAAUUCUAGGUGGGGCUAGCGGUCACUCCCUAUCCCCACUUAGCUGCUAUGCUUCAAGGUGCAUGGGUAAAUUUGCAAUAGUGUGGCUGUGAAUGCUUCUGGUGAUUGUUAGUGGUGGUGGGAGCGGGAGUGCUGCUGCUGCAAUUUCAAUCUUUGUGAUCUGACUCAGACUUAGCAGUGCAAUGUUUAACUUUUGUUUGUGGGAGGACUGUAAAGGUACCAAACAAACAUAAAGUCUAUCUGACCUUUAAGAGUGAGGACUGUACUAGUACUCUUCAUCUAACUCUACCUACAUAGCGCCCAUCCUUUGAUUCAGCAUGUCUGUGAUGCAUGUGUACAUGUGUGUGCGUGCACGUGUGUAUGUACAUGCACACGUGUGUGUGUCCCUGUGCACCAGUGUGCCUAUGUGCCCAUAGGUGUCAUCUGUUAUGUAGCAGGACAUGUUGCUGGAAUCUCCUCUUGUCUAUCAAUACACAAAACACACAUAUAUACAAUACCCAUAUACAUAAUCCCCAUCCACACAGAUUUCUCCUGUCCAUAAAUCCCCAUAAAAG